rnacentral:rRNA from 1 species
UACGGGGGAGCAAGCGUUGUUCGGAUUUACUGGGCGUAAAGGGCGCGUAGGCGGCAACUCAAGUCAGCUGUGAAAUCUCCGAGCUUAACUCGGAACGGUCAGCUGAUACUGUUUUGCUAGAGGUGCAGAAGGGGCAAUCGGAAUUCUUGGUGUAGCGGUGAAAUGCGUAGAUAUCAAGAGGAACACCUGAGGUGAAGACGGGUUGCUAGGCUGACACUGACGCUGAGGCGCGAAAGCCCAGGGGAGCAAACGGG